UGCCCAUCAGAAGGGGAUAACACUUGGAAACAGGUGCUAAUACCGUAUAACAAUCAAAACCGCAUGGUUUUGAUUUGAAAGGCGCUUUCGGGUGUCGCUGAUGGAUGGACCCGCGGUGCAUUAGCUAGUUGGUGAGGUAACGGCUCACCAAGGCCACGAUGCAUAGCCGACCUGAGAGGGUGAUCGGCCACAUUGGGACUGAGACACGGCCCAAACUCCUACGGGAGGCAGCAGUAGGGAAUCUUCGGCAAUGGACGAAAGUCUGACCGAGCAACGCCGCGUGAGUGAAGAAGGUUUUCGGAUCGUAAAACUCUGUUGUUAGAGAAGAACAAGGAUGAGAGUAACUGUUCAUCCCUUGACGGUAUCUAACCAGAAAGCCACGGCUAACUACGUGCCAGCAGCCGCGGUAAUACGUAGGUGGCAAGCGUUGUCCGGAUUUAUUGGGCGUAAAGCGAGCGCAGGCGGUUUCUUAAGUCUGAUGUGAAAGCCCCCGGCUCAACCGGGGAGGGUCAUUGGAAACUGGGAGACUUGAGUGCAGAAGAGGAGAGUGGAAUUCCAUGUGUAGCGGUGAAAUGCGUAGAUAUAUGGAGGAACACCAGUGGCGAAGGCGGCUCUCUGGUCUGUAACUGACGCUGAGGCUCGAAAGCGUGGGGAGCAAACAGGAUUAGAUACCCUGGUAGUCCACGCCGUAAACGAUGAGUGCUAAGUGUUGGAGGGUUUCCGCCCUUCAGUGCUGCAGCUAACGCAUUAAGCACUCCGCCUGGGGAGUACGACCGCAAGGUUGAAACUCAAAGGAAUUGACGGGGGCCCGCACAAGCGGUGGAGCAUGUGGUUUAAUUCGAAGCAACGCGAAGAACCUUACCAGGUCUUGACAUCCUUUGACCACUCUAGAGAUAGAGCUUCCCCUUCGGGGGCAAAGUGACAGGUGGUGCAUGGUUGUCGUCAGCUCGUGUCGUGAGAUGUUGGGUUAAGUCCCGCAACGAGCGCAACCCUUAUUGUUAGUUGCCAUCAUUCAGUUGGGCACUCUAGCAAGACUGCCGGUGACAAACCGGAGGAAGGUGGGGAUGACGUCAAAUCAUCAUGCCCCUUAUGACCUGGGCUACACACGUGCU
rnacentral:rRNA from 1 species